UGUGUGUCGUAGUUAACGCGUUAAACAGGGCGCCUGGGAAGUACGGCCGCAAGGCUAAAACCCAAAGGAAUUGACGGGGACCCGCACAAGCAGUGGAGCGCCUGGUUUAAUUCGAUGGUCAGCGAAGAACCUCACCUAGGCUUGAACUGUAGCUGCACGCUCCCAGAAACGGGAGAAUCCUUCGAGGGUGCGACAGAGGUGCUGCAUGGCUGUCGUCAGCUCGUGUCGUGAGAUGUAGGGUUAAGUCCCACAACGAGCGCAACCCCUAUUCAGUGUUAUAAUUACUCUGAAGACUGCCCUGUCCAAACGGGGAGGAAGGAGGGGACGACGUCCAGUCAUCAUGUCCCUUAUGUCUAGGGCUACACAGACGCUACAAUGGCCGGUACAAUGGGUUGCCAAGCCGCGAGGUGGAGCCAAUCCCAUCAAAGCCGGUCCCAGUUCGGAUUGCAGUCUGCAACUCGACUGCAUGAGGUUGGAAUUGCUAGUAAUCGCGAAUCAGCACGUCGCGGUGAAUACGUUCUCGGGUCUUGUACACACCGCCCGUCAGGGCACGGGAGUCGCUCUUGCUCGAAGUUCCCGAAUAAUUCGGGACCGAAAGUUAAGGGUGGCAAC
rnacentral:rRNA from 1 species